rnacentral:rRNA from 1 species
UAAAUACUAAUACCAGAUCGAUAGUGCACAAGUACCGUGAGGGAAAGGUGAAAAGAACUGAGGUGAUCAGAGUGAAAUAGAACCUGAAACCAUUUGCUUACAAUCAUUCAGAGCCCUAUGUAGCAAUACAGGGUGAUGGACUGCCUUUUGCAUAAUGAGCCUGCGAGUUGUGGUGUCUGGCAAGGUUAAGCAAACGCGAAGCCGUAGCGAAAGCGAGUCUGAAUAGGGCGCUUAGUCAGAUGCUGCAGACCCGAAACGAAGUGAUCUAUCCAUGAGCAAGUUGAAGCUAGUGUAAGAACUAGUGGAGGACUGAACCCAUAGGCGUUGAAAAGCCCCGGGAUGACUUGUGGAUAGGGGUGAAAGGCCAAUCAAACUUCGUGAUAGCUGGUUCUCUCCGAAAUAUAUUUAGGUAUAGCGUUGUGUCGUAAUAUAAGGGGGUAGAGCACUGAAUGGGCUAGGGCAUACACCAAUGUACCAAACCCUAUCAAACUCCGAAUACCUUAUAUGUAAUCACAGCAGUCAGGCGGCGAGUGAUAAAAUCCGUCGUCAAGAGGGAAACAACCCAGACUACCAGCUAAGGUCCCUAAAUCUUACUUAAGUGGAAAACGAUGUGAAGUUACUUAAACAACCAGGAGGUUGGCUUAGAAGCAGCCAUCCUUUAAAGAAAGCGUAAUAGCUCACUGGUCUAGUGAUUUUGCGCGGAAAAUAUAACGGGGCUAAAGUAAGUACCGAAGCUGUAGACUUAGUUUACUAAGUGGUAGGAGAGCGUUCUAUUUGCGUCGAAGGUAUACCGGUAAGGAGUGCUGGAGCGAAUAGAAGUGAGCAUGCAGGCAUGAGUAGCGAUAAUUAAUGUGAGAAUCAUUAACGCCGUAAACCCAAGGUUUCCUACGCGAUGCUCGUCAUCGUAGGGUUAGUCGGGUCCUAAGUCGAGUCCGAAAGGGGUAGACGAUGGCAAAUUGGUUAAUAUUCCAAUACCAACAUUAGUGUGCGAUGGAAGGACGCUUAGGGCUAAGGGGGCUAGCGGAUGGAAGUGCUAGUCUAAGGUCGUAGGAGGUU